rnacentral:misc_RNA from 1 species
AAGCUUACGCGAUAAACACGCAAAAGCUUUGCUAUUAAAUAUAGCGAGAACCCCAAAGUCAAAAGACAAGAGAAGUAUAGUACACUCGCCAACACCAAGGAAGACAAAGAAAACACUGUUUACAACCCCACGGAAGGAACACAUAGAGCCAGAGGGUCAGGCUAUGCAAGAAGAUAACCAGAGACUCGUCCUAGCUACGCCAAUGGAAACCAUGAAACCAAUUACCAUUAAGUCCUUUACACCAAGUAAAAUUAAGGUUGUGUACAAAACAAAGAAAACAAAGAAUAUAAGAACCAAACUGGUAAAAGAUUGUCAAUUAGGUGAACUUGUCAGAAGUAUAGCAAUUCACAAUGCUCCAAAGAGGACAAUUCGAGCCAUGUACAAUACGCCGCUAAAAGAUGUUAUCAACAACCAUAUAAUGACAGAACUAAAGCAAGAAAUUGGAAAAUUAACUUCAAGUGUGAAUCGUUCUUUGCUAAGGCAAAUUGACAGCAAAAGUUUGGCUACAUUCAGUAUCGACAGAGUAAAUGAAGAAAUACAGAUAUGGGCACCUUUGUUCCACCAGUGCAUGUUGACGCUUAGCAACAAUAACCUAAUGGGGGCUACAGUAGCUGCAUGUGUAAUGCUUAAAUAUAACAACAAACACAUGUCUGCUUUACAACACAUCAUAGGCCAGAUUCUAGACCAUGGUGGAGCUACUGAUGAUACUAUAGAUACUUUGUCAAAGAUGGGCAUGUGUGUGACAGCAUCUUCAUCAGCAAAAAGAAAACACCACCUACUGAGCAGACAACAGCAGCAUAUCAAGAGACUCCUUACAGAGCCAGUGAAGGAGGAUGAGCAAAUUACUGGUACACAUCAACUAAUUCAUCUAUGAACAGUUUUACAAAGUGUCAUCAGCAGGAGAGCCGGGUACACUCAGUCACCUAAGAAACACAGUACGGAGAAUUGAUGUCCAUGGCCCUGAAGAAGUUAUCCAAAAGUACAGAUCUCAUUAUGCGUGGAUGGAUGACUGUUUGGAUUCUUUCAUCUUGGGUGCUUACAUGGAUCUGAUGGGCAUCAAGGAUCUACAAGAUGAACCUGUCAACCAUCAACCUUUGUUCCAUCUUCUAUCUGAUCAGGACAAGUACACUUACAUCCAUGGAGUAGCAAAAGAUAUUCUCGACAAAUAUGUAAAGAUUGCAGAUGAUGUUGAUGAAAUCAGAGAGAAGACAUGCGCUCUUGAUGCAGAAGCAAAUCAAAUGAAGGACCUCUUUGACAGUGAUGAAAUGAAGUAUAUGUGCCCAAAUUGCAACAAGCAGUACAAGACAAGUGGUGGUAUAAAGAGACAUUUGAAAAAGGUACACGAGUUCUCUUUUGAUACUGAAGACCAACUGCCUACUUCUGGAAAGGACCACGUUGCGAUAUACAGAGCAUCAUUUAUGAAAUGUGCAUUGCUACUUCGAGACACAAAUGAUGCAUAUAAAAUGGGAGAUGGGAACAGAGUAACAACAAACGCAAAAUUUCAGAUGCUUCUCUCUCGUGUUGGAAAACACAACAAGUAUCAGUUAUGGCUGUUUAGGUAUUUGGCCUACAUCAAAUGCAUCCUAUCACCAAAAAUGGCGUACGAGUACAUGUGGAACUGCAGUGCAAAUUUGCAAGGUGGUAUCGGAAAAAAUAUUCCAAAUGACAAUUUACUAGAAAUGAUGGUACAAACUGUGAAGAAAAAAAUUUACUCCCAAGGAGCCAAUGCAACUUACACCAGUGUUCAGAGAGCUGCACUCACGACUCAAAUUCAAGAAGAAAUUAAGCAGAAUCUGCAAACCCAGUGCAACAAGAAACAAUCAGGAUCAAGAAGACCCGACGCAAAUAAAACAUCUGACAUUUUGGAAAUGGUCACUGAACUCAACAAUGCCAAAAUAUUUGACUACAUUCCUGGUAGAGAAUUUAAUAGUUUUCCAGGUUUUAUCGACUUUUUCUCACGUAUUAAAGUUGUUGAUUUGCAUGCCUGGAUCACAGAAAACAGAGAGAGACUCUCGUAUGAAGUUCUAAGUUAGAAAAUCAGAUUGUUAGCUUGGGUAUACAACCAAAAACUGUUAUUUUAUUGCAAAUACAUGCAUAUUGAACAAUCAAUCAAUCUACUUGAAUACAUGUAUUACAUAUGUAAUUCGCUUCUACUUGCAUUACAUGUAUGUAGAAUGUGUAUAUGUAUAUUCUUGUUUGACAGCUAUUAGUUGUGUAUCUGAAACCCAAACAUUUAUUAAAAAUGUUGUAUAUGU